UACGCCCCUAGGGGGUUCCCUCAUUGGGAGUCGGGGUUCCGGGUCCUAGCGUAAGGGCGUGCCGCUCGCCCGGGCAUAC
rnacentral:tRNA from 1 species